rnacentral:lncRNA from 1 species
CUNAAGNGGGCAAUUCUCACAGCAAGCAGUCAUAGUCCAAAAAUUUAAAGAAACAUGNAAACAGGUCUGCAUUAUUGAGUGGUGAAGUUAACACAGAAAUAUAGAAUGCAUUAUUCGCAAGCCUCGAGUUUAUUUGAAAUGCAAAGGAAUUGAAGAAUGCAGAACUCCUGAAAUGCAAGACUAACCUGAUUCUAGCUGUAUUAUCCCUCCACACCCCUGUGGCGCACAAGCCACGCGUAUAGCCACGAACCACCACCCCUGCGGCGCACAAGCCUCACGCGCACAGCCACGAACCACCACCCCACCUGCAACACGCACAACGAACCUCGAUGAGAACGAACAGACACACAAUGCCACCGGAAACAUAGAGGUAGACGAGAGAAUGGAAGCAUAAACCAAUGGAAGCUCCACAGAGAACGCCUUAGGGUUACGACUUUGGGCAGAGGAGAACGACAAUUUCUGAAAUUUGGGCAAAACAAAAUUAGGUUUUGGAGCAAAGGGGAAGGGUUUUGGAGAAGCAAAGGGGAAUCACCGUGGAAUAAACCUGAAAGGGGACGAGAGUUCUCAAGUCGUGGAGGGGACGAGAGCAAAGGGGUAUUUUGGCUCGAAGAGUGGAGGGAAACUGAAGUCGUGGCUUAAAUGAUUAAGGAACAUACCGACGGUCCUCUGGCCCUCGGUAAUGCCCUCGGUAAAAUGUAUUUACCGAGGGGCUGGAGGCCCUCGGUAAUAUCUCGCAGCUAAUUCCCCAUUUUACUGUAGUGCAUCCUCAAUAGUGAGUUGAGCGUGAUUGCUCCCCCUAGGCAAUAAAAUCCAAGCAAUGAUAAAGGCGCACAACCUGUCAUCCCUUUUCAGCAUCCCUACUCUAUAUAAUGUAUAGUCUAUGGCAUCAU